GACGAACGCUGGCGGCGUGCCUAAUACAUGCAAGUAGGACGCAGUUGCGAACGGGUGAGUAACGCGUAGGUGACUACCUGGUAGAGGGGGGUAACUAGUGGAAACGAUCGCAAAUACCGCAUACUCGUGGAUGGACCUGCGGUGUAUUAGCUAGUAGGUUGGGUAAUUGCCUACCUAGGCAACGACACAUUGCCGACCUUGGAGGGUGAUCGGCCACACUGGGACCUGGACACGGCCCAGACUCCUACGGGAGGCAGCAGUAGGGAAUCUUCGGCCAUGGGGGGAAACCUGACCGAGCAACGCCGCGUGAGGGAAGAAGGUUUUCGGAUCGUAAAGCUCUGUUGUGAAGGGAGCGGUACUUACCCAGAAAGGGACGGCUAACUACGUGCCAGCAGCCGCGGUAAUAC
rnacentral:rRNA from 1 species